rnacentral:lncRNA from 1 species
AUUUACUGUAAAUGUUUGUUAUUUAAAACAGGCUCAUUCAAAUGCAAGGUGUUCACUGCAGCAGCUGAGGAUCUGACCGUGAUUUUCUCUCAAUAACUAAGCGCAAACUACCUAUCUACACCAUACCUGUCUAGAACCACUGAUCAGGCAGAUGGGAUUUAGUCAUUGGAGUCAGCCAUUGAAUUUCACUUGACAUUGGUGGUUCCCUGUCAGGUGGGACAACGGCGGCAUCAGGCCCUCUGGCUGGGAUGGGCACACCCAAGGGGGCCUGUCGUCUUCAAUGUGGAGAUGUCAUCUGGCAGCCAAUCUUGCUUGGGCUCAACAUCCGUAACUACAAGCUAAAAGGAGACCCGUGUCCGAGACCUCUCCUGAAGCUCCGUACACCAUCCUCUGGAAACCCAUCGCCCCUGUGGUUCCCUGCCUCCUGUGGAAUCCAAGCUCUGACUCUCUGAGCCGACUUGUUGAAUCAACACUGUUCUGUGAAGUGUCUUUAUCUGGACAUUUGAAUCCCUGCUGAAAUGUCUCUGUGUGUCCCCACUAGAUCAUAAGCGUGUGAACUCUCUGAGCGCAAUGUCUGGUCUCCCGUCCUUGUCUUCCCUGGAGUGACUCAUCCCCUGACAUGUAUGGAACAGGACUGCAGGCCACAUAAGUCGUGCUUGCUUUGUGUCCUUACUCGUUCCGUCCUGAGUCCUGACUGCGGUGCUGUCAGGGAGGCCUGCCUCAAAAAUGAGGCAACGGCGCCCCAGGGAGCCCACCCU